rnacentral:rRNA from 1 species
UACACGAUGAAGAACGUUGCAUAAUGUGAUAAGUAAC